AUUGAACGCUGGCGGCAUGCUUAACACCUGCAAGUCGAACGGCAGCAUGUUUUGUAGCAAUACAACAUGAUGGCGAGUGGCGGACGGGUGAGAAACGCGUAGGAAUCUACCCUAAAGAGGGGGGCAACCCGAGGACACUCGGGCUAAUACCGCAUAUUACUCUUUGGAGGAAAGGCUGGGGCAACCUGUCGCUUUAGGAGGAGCCUGCGUCCGAUUCGCUAGUUGGUUAGGUAAAGGCUGACCGAGGCGAUAAUCGGUAGCUGGUCUGAGAGGAUCAUCAGCCACGCUUGGACUGAGACACGGCCCAGUCUCCUACGGGAGGCAGCAUGGGGGAAUAUUGGACAAUGGAGGCAACCCUGAUCCAGCAAUGCGGCGUGUGUGAGGAAGGCCUUCGGGUUGUAAAGCACUUUAGUUGGGGAAGAAGGUGUAUUGUUUAAGAGAUUAUACAUUUGACUGUACCCAAAGAAUAAGCACCGGCUGACUCUGUGCCAGCCGCCGCAGUAA
rnacentral:rRNA from 1 species